ACAGGCUUAACACAUGCAAGUCGAGGGGCAGCAUUUUAGUUUGCUUGCAAACUAAAGAUGGCGACCGGCGCACGGGUGAGUAACACGUAUCCAACCUGCCGAUAACUCGGGGAUAGCCUUUCGAAAGAAAGAUUAAUAUCCGAUAGUAUAUUAAAACCGCAUGGUUUUACUAUUAAAGAAUUUCGGUUAUCGAUGGGGAUGCGUUCCAUUAGUUUGUUGGCGGGGUAACGGCCCACCAAGACAACGAUGGAUAGGGGUUCUGAGAGGAAGGUCCCCCACAUUGGAACUGAGACACGGUCCAAACUCCUACGGGAGGCAGCAGUGAGGAAUAUUGGUCAAUGGACGAGAGUCUGAACCAGCCAAGUAGCGUGAAGGAUGACUGCCCUAUGGGUUGUAAACUUCUUUUAUAUGGGAAUAAAGUAUUCCACGUGUGGGAUUUUGUAUGUACCAUAUGAAUAAGGAUCGGCUAACUCCGUGCCAGCAGCCGCGGUAAUACGGAGGAUCCGAGCGUUAUCCGGAUUUAUUGGGUUUAAAGGGAGCGUAGGUGGACUGGUAAGUCAGUUGUGAAAGUUUGCGGCUCAACCGUAAAAUUGCAGUUGAUACUGUCAGUCUUGAGUACAGUAGAGGUGGGCGGAAUUCGUGGUGUAGCGGUGAAAUGCUUAGAUAUCACGAAGAACUCCGAUUGCGAAGGCAGCUCACUGGACUGCAACUGACACUGAUGCUCGAAAGUGUGGGUAUCAAACAGGAUUAGAUACCCUGGUAGUCCACACAGUAAACGAUGAAUACUCGCUGUUUGCGAUAUACAGUAAGCGGCCAAGCGAAAGCAUUAAGUAUUCCACCUGGGGAGUACGCCGGCAACGGUGAAACUCAAAGGAAUUGACGGGGGCCCGCACAAGCGGAGGAACAUGUGGUUUAAUUCGAUGAUACGCGAGGAACCUUACCCGGGCUUAAAUUGCAUUUGAAUAAUCUGGAAACAGGUUAGCCGCAAGGCAAAUGUGAAGGUGCUGCAUGGUUGUCGUCAGCUCGUGCCGUGAGGUGUCGGCUUAAGUGCCAUAACGAGCGCAACCCUUAUCUUUAGUUACCAACAGGUCAUGCUGAGGACUCUAGAGAGACUGCCGUCGUAAGAUGUGAGGAAGGUGGGGAUGACGUCAAAUCAGCACGGCCCUUACGUCCGGGGCUACACACGUGUUACAAUGGGGGGUACAGAAGGCAGCUACCUGGCGACAGGAUGCUAAUCCCAAAAACCUCUCUCAGUUCGGAUCGAAGUCUGCAACCCGACUUCGUGAAGCUGGAUUCGCUAGUAAUCGCGCAUCAGCCACGGCGCGGUGAAUACGUUCCCGGGCCUUGUACACACCGCCCGUCAAGCCAUGGGAGCCGGGGGUACCUGAAGUACGUAACCACAAGGAUCGUCCUAGGGUAAAACUGGUGACUGGGGCUAAG
rnacentral:rRNA from 1 species